UUUAAAAAAAAAUUAAAAACUAUAUAAAUUUGCAGAGAUAGAGAUUGAAAGAAGAAGAAAAAGGCGGACAAACGCACAGCACCCAGGAAGAUUCGAAACCUUAUGGAUAACGAAGUACUUUGCAAGGAUGUUUCUGGCGAGCAGGCCAGGGAGUCGCUCAUCGCAAUCUCUGACCCUGUAGCGGAUCAGGUUCUCGACCUGAGUUUUUUGCCUGCACUGUUGGAUAGGGUUGCUGCGGCGAAUAAGGAUGGACAUGAGAAGUACGUCUCUGAACUCAUGUCUAUUUCUAAUUUGCAAUCUCCCGAUAUCAAAACUUGAUUGUUUGCGAUGUGAAAACCGUGAGGAUUAGCAGCGAAGCUAUCUAUAGCGGUCAUGGAAUUACUCUUUCAUAAGAGAUUGUAAAUAUAUUUAUUGUUCUUACGAACUACUACGCGUGUGUGAAUAACUAGUACAGACUGAUAGGGUCCUGGUGUCAUUAGUGUUCUAAACCUUCAUAUUAGAAGGAUGAUGAACGCAAAUGAACCUGAUGAUUCUUGCUAUUUUCAUACAGUAAUUAUUAAUAAAUAAUAAACAUAAUGAAGUAUUAUUGGCA